UGCUGUUGCAUCCCUAACCUGCUAAACUGCUGGCAGAUAUUAAAACAUAUGUAUAAGGAAAGCUAUAAGGGCAGUUAAAAAAUAUAACAAGGAUUUGGUUUAUAAACUGUUUAUUUCUAGAGAUGAUAACACAAUAUAAAGAUGGAAUUCACUAUAUUCAUAUUUUUAAUGAUAUGUUUUAUAAGUCUAAAUUCCUUUUAAUAUUCCUCUGAUAUACAAAUCUUCUGAAAACUUUAAUAUUAUCAAGGUUUAUAACCGACUUAAUAUUAGAAUUGAGACUCUUUUCAGGUAUUUUAAUACUACAGUAGCAAAAUAUAUCAACACAGAGUACAUAUUUGCAAAUUGUUUUUGUAAAUUGCCCUUUCCAUGCGCUCUUUCAACCAUUAGAAACAUAAUAGCGUUAAACGGCUAAAUUAUGCUGGAGGAACCACAAAUGUCUCUACAUUUAAAGCUUUUUCAAACCGACACAGAGGUGAAUGGACAAGAUUACAAUUAAUAAUUUGUGACAUUUUUCGUCGACAACAGCGCAGCACUCUUCGCGGCUCCUGCCGGCUCUAUACUGACCCUGUUUCACACGCAAUAUUUUCCAUAUUCAGUCGCUAACACACCUUUUGUAUCUCACUAUGAAGAACAUCAACAUUUCCACCAAAACCCCGAAAAAAUAAUCAUUUUAUAGACGAAAGAAUAAAAUAUUUCAAACAAUUUGUUUUGCUUUUGCCAACGCAUGCGCAGUUCGGUCGACAUACAGUUUUCUGUAUGUCUGAUUCGGAUUAUCCCAGAGCCUUC